GCAAGCGUUGUUCGGAUUUACUGGGCGUAAAGGGCGCGUAGGCGGCCACUGCAAGUCAGUUGUGAAAUCUCCGGGCUUAACCCGGAAAGGUCAACUGAUACUGCAGGGCUAGAGUGCAGAAGGGGCAACUGGAAUUCUCGGUGUAGCGGUGUAAUGCGUAGAUAUCGAGAGGAACACCUGCGGCGAAGGCGGGUUGCUGGGCUGACACUGACGCUGAGGCGCGAAAGCCAGGGGAGCAAACGGG
rnacentral:rRNA from 1 species